GCGGCGGACGGGUUGAGUAAUGCCUAGGAAUCUGCCUGGUAGUGGGGGAUAACGUUCGGAAACGGACGCUAAUACCGCAUACGUCCUACGGGAGAAAGCAGGGGACCUUCGGGCCUUGCGCUAUCAGAUGAGCCUAGGUCGGAUUAGCUAGUUGGUGGGGUAAUGGCUCACCAAGGCGACGAUCCGUAACUGGUCUGAGAGGAUGAUCAGUCACACUGGAACUGAGACACGGUCCAGACUCCUACGGGAGGCAGCAGUGGGGAAUAUUGGACAAUGGGCGAAAGCCUGAUCCAGCCAUGCCGCGUGUGUGAAGAAGGUCUUCGGAUUGUAAAGCACUUUAAGUUGGGAGGAAGGGCAGUUACCUAAUACGUGAUUGUUUUGACGUUACCGACAGAAUAAGCACCGGCUAACUCUGUGCCAGCAGCCGCGGUAAUACAGAGGGUGCAAGCGUUAAUCGGAAUUACUGGGCGUAAAGCGCGCGUAGGUGGUUUGUUAAGUUGGAUGUGAAAUCCCCGGGCUCAACCUGGGAACUGCAUUCAAAACUGACUGACUAGAGUAUGGUAGAGGGUGGUGGAAUUUCCUGUGUAGCGGUGAAAUGCGUAGAUAUAGGAAGGAACACCAGUGGCGAAGGCGACCACCUGGACUGAUACUGACACUGAGGUGSGAAAGCGUGGGGAGCAAACAGGAUUAGAUACCCUGGUA
rnacentral:rRNA from 1 species